rnacentral:rRNA from 1 species
CAGCCGCCGCGGUAUUACGGAGGGGGCUAGCGUUGUUCGGAAUUACUGGGCGUAAAGCGCACGUAGGCGGCUUGGUAAGUUAGAGGUGAAAGCCCGGAGCUCAACUCCGGAAUUGCCUUUAAGACUGCCGAGCUAGUAGGUGAGAGAGGUAAGUGGAAUUCCGAGUGUAGAGGUGAAAUUCGUAGAUAUUCGGAAGAACACCAGUGGCGAAGGCGGCUUACUGGCUCAUUCUAGACGCUGAGGUGCGAAAGCGUGGGGAGCAAACAGGAUUAGAUACCCGCGUAGUCCUGUCUCUUAUACC